GUGGGCUUCCUGAGGUGAGCCUGUUGCUCACAGUGCCUGCACUGUACCAAAAUCCAGAGAGGGAGGGAUCAGAAAGUUAGUCAUAAAAAAAGGGGGGGGGGGAGAGCCCCAGGCACAAGGCGUAGCCACUCCUCUGUUAGAACCACAAUCAAACAAGGCUCAGGCAAUCCUCGCAGCUGCUCUCCAAAUGUCAGCGCCAGCCGUCAACACAGCUUGAAAGCCACCCAGCUGAAGGACUUUGUGCUGUACCUUCUCGCCCACAUUUUCCCCGAGCACUCCCAGGAACCUGGCAACAGGUAUGGAGCUGGAGGUCAAGUUCAGAGAGGCUGGUACCAGCCAGUGGCAGAUGGCAAUGAUCAAAGCUUCCAUAUCACCCAGACAGCUGCUGCCACAUCCCGUUGCUUCAGAAGCGGAAGGAAGGCGCAUUUCGGACCUUUCCGGCAGGAGGGACUGGUUGUAUUACAUCUGAUUGAGGCCAUAUGCACCCAAGGGUACCACUUAUGGACUCAAUGUUUGUGUCCCAACAAAAUGCAUAUGUUGAAGCUCCAACUCCCAAUGUGAUGGUGUUUGAAGAUGGGACCUUUGGGAGAAAGGCCACGUGAGAACAUAGUAGGAAGGCAGCCAUCUGCAACUGAAGACAAAGACAAAAGCUCUCAUCAGACAUCUAACCUGCUGGCACUUAGAUCUUAGACUUCCCAGCCUCCAGAAUUGUGAGAAAUAAAUGUCUGUUUUUUAAGCUA